rnacentral:rRNA from 1 species
CGAAAGCCUGACGGAGCAAUACCGCGUGAGGGAGGAAGGCUCUUGGGUUGUAAACCUCUUUUCUCAGGGAAGAAGCACUGACGGUACCUGAGGAAUCAGCAUCGGCUAACUCCGUGCCAGCAGCCGCGGUAAUACGGAGGAUGCAAGCGUUAUCCGGAAUCAUUGGGCGUAAAGCGUCCGCAGGUGGCCGUUCAAGUCUGCUGUCAAAACCCACAGCUUAACUGUGGAAAGGCAGUGGAAACUGAACAGCUAGAGUGCGGUAGGGGUAGAGGGAAUUCCCGGUGUAGCGGUGAAAUGCGUAGAGAUCGGGAAGAACACCAGUGGCGAAAGCGCUCUGCUGGACCUGCACUGACACUCAGGGACGAAAGCU